AAAGGCCUCAGGAAUAGAGGACUCAGAGGCUCCAGGAAAAGAAGGACGCUUGGGGAAUCCAGACGAUGACAAGAAGAAGCCUUGCAAUCACUUGGGAAUGCACAGAGAGACAUCCUAGGAUCAAAACUGCCUGGACCCCCUGGCUGGCUGGGAAAGAAACUCUGCCCUCUCCUCUCCCGGCUUCCCCAAAUUUUCGCAUAAUGUUGCCAAGCAUUAGUCCAGCGUGGAGGCUACUUUCUGCUCAAACCACUCAUUUGGGUCCCGCGCCCAACAUCACCUAUCCUCAGUAAAACAACCUUUACUUCCUUCUUCCUGGUUUCCAGAAAGUUCCCCUAAAGCCCUGAGGAAUCACCGAAUGAAAGGGGCUUUUUACAAACAGGAAACUUAAGUGGAGUGCCAAUACACAACAUGGAUUGCACCAGGCUAGGUCUAAGAUAAAACCAGACUGUGGACAACAGGACAGACAAGACCCACAUGGCUCUGCACUGCCUGGGUCUGUUAUUGUGUGGAAGAAUGUCUUAGUCUGUUGCUCCUGUGGAUGUAGCUAAAGCACGAACCAGGAGUUUUCAUCCUUUUUUUU
rnacentral:lncRNA from 1 species